GCCGGAGUACCCCAACGGUAGAGGGAGCUGAUUCAAGACCAGCGUAGUGAGGGUUCGAAUCCCUCCUCCGGCA
rnacentral:tRNA from 1 species